rnacentral:lncRNA from 1 species
UCAUUGCUUCUUGCAAUUUCGUCCAUCUCGGCAACAUUGUCCCCUGCAGCUCUACGAUGUCUUGAAUGUUCAUCUUUUUUUCGUUCAAUCCCUGAUACAAGUAGAAUAAAUGAAAGCAAAAACACUAAUUUUAAUGCUUUCAUAUUGUAUCUCUUAUUUUCAGAAUCUAUAUUGUAAAACUAAUCUGUAUAGGUAGAUGUUCUAAAAACCUCAAACGAGAACUCUAAUUAGGAGAUCUUUAACGAACAACCUAACAAAAGACUCCCGGUUUUUUCUACAACCUUUCUGCGUAUUUUAAACAUAUAAAUUAAAUGGUAUAUGAUUCAGUUUUAUAUA